rfam:Ovis aries breed Texel chromosome 10, whole genome shotgun sequence.
UCCCUGGUGGUCCAGUGGUUGAGACUCUGUGCUCUCAACGCAGGGUGCACAGGUUCAAUCCCUGGUCAGGGAA